GGGCCUGUAGCUCAGUCCGGUAGAGCAUCGCCCUUGCAAGGCGGGGGCCGCGGGUUCGAAUCCCGCCGGGUCCA
rnacentral:tRNA from 1 species